rnacentral:tRNA from 1 species
CGAGGCGUGACGGAGCGGAGUAGUUUACAACGUGCCUGUCUGCAAAACAGGAUCUCGUAGGUUCAAAUCCUACCGCCUCGUCCA